UACGAAGGGGGCUAGCGUUGCUCGGAAUCACUGGGCGUAAAGGGUGCGUAGGCGGGUCUUUUAAGUCAGGGGUGAAAUCCUGGAGCUCAACUCCAGAACUGCCUUUGAUACUGAAGAUCUUGAGUUCGGGAGAGGUGAGUGGAACUGCGAGUGUAGAGGUGAAAUUCGUAGAUAUCGGGAGGAACACCGGUGGCGAAGGCGGCGACCUGGGUCGAUACUGACGCUGAGGUGCGAAAGCGUGGGGAGCAAACAGG
rnacentral:rRNA from 1 species